UCUGACACUAAGUAAGUCUUUAUUUACUUAUGAAGCUGUGAGACAGCUAAAUUAAAGCUGAUUAGCAAGAUGGCAGCUCUGCUGCUUGUAGCUGAGUUGAGUCUGUUGGAGAUGGCCGCCCUUCUGUAACCACUCCUCAGUGUCACGAGUGAAGGCAGAGAUGCCAGUUCAUCGCUGGCACAAGAAGAGCCAGUGGCAUUGACUUAAGCCAGGUUACACCUUUUAUGACGUUAAUGUCAGCAGUGGUUUGGGCCCUUUUGCU